AUAAUGAUACCCCUGCCCAGCCAUAGUCACAAACAAUGUGGGGCAGCUCGGAGAGAUCCUCGGAGGGGUUAGAUUCCC
rnacentral:ncRNA from 1 species